AUUGAACGCUGGCGGCAUGCUUUACACAUGCAAGUCGAACGGCAGCGCGGGCUUCGGCCUGGCGGCGGGUGGCGAACGGGUGAGUAAUACAUCGGAACGUGCCCAAACGUGGGGGAUAGCUCGGCGAAAGCCGGAUUAAUACCGCAUACGACCUGAGGGUGAAAGCGGGGGAUCUUCGGACCUCGCGCCAUUGGGGCGGCCGAUGUCAGAUUAGCUAGUUGGUGGGGUAAAGGCCUAACAAGGCGACGAGCUUUAACUGGUCUGAGAGGACGACCAGCCACACUGGGAGUGAGAAACGGCCCAGACUCUGACGGGAGGCAGCAGUGGGGAAUCUUGGACAAGGGGGGAAAGCCUGAUACAGCAAUGUCGCGUGAGUGAUGAAGGCCUUAGGGUUGGAAAGUAAUGUUGGCGGGAACGAAAAGGAGCGUGCCAAUACCACGGUUUGAUGACGGUACCCGCAGAAUAAGCACCGGCUAACUACGUG
rnacentral:rRNA from 1 species